CGCCUAACCCCUAUGGGCAACCAUAGGGUAUGGCAUAAAAACCAGUCACGGACACCAAACCCAUCGUUUGGGGUUACCGUGACUGGUCAUAUUCCGAAAGGAGUAUGGAUGGCUUCGGCCGUC
rnacentral:sRNA from 12 species